rnacentral:rRNA from 1 species
ACGUAGGGGGCAAGCGUUGUCCGGAUUUACUGGGCGUAAAGAGCUCGUAGGCGGCUCGGUAAGUUGGGUGUGAAAACUCCAGGCUCAACCUGGAGAGGCCACUCAAUACUGCCGUGGCUAGAGUUCGGUAGAGGAUCGUGGAAUUUCUGGUGUAGCGGUGAAAUGCGCAGAUAUCAGAAGGAACACCAACGGCGAAGGCAGCGAUCUGGGCCGAUACUGACGCUGAGGAGCGAAAGCAUGGGGAGCAAACAGG